UUUCAGCACUGUGAUUGAAAAGAUGCAAGGUCGGUGGUGUAACUUGGGCUCAUUGGGCCCCCCUGCAAAAAAAUCGACUGUGGGGGCCGGCUUGAACAGUUUCUCCUCCUCAAGCCCCCCUCCCAGCCUACACGAUUUAAAGAAAUAAUAUGAAGUCUAUCUUCAGUAACACGGAAUGUUUACCCGGUUUAUACCAAGAACUAAGUCUGUUGCUGCACCACAAUUUGCAGCACAAUUGCAGGCCAUACCCAACUGUGAUUACAAUAAAAAUACAGGCAUAUUUUUCAUGGAAGAGUUUAUGGGAAGCUCCUAUGAAUGAAAUACAGAAGGUGGCAACAGAACAUGACCAGAACAUACAAUGAAAACUUUGCACAGAAGAUGGAGAUCAGAAUGUCUUUACAUUCUGCUUUCAAGAACAGAGCAGGAAAAGAGCAAUAUGCAGGUCCUAUCUGACAUGUUAGUGAAUGGAUGGAGCACAAUGGACGGAAAUAUGCAAAAACAAGGAACCGUGUCCCUGGCAAAUGAAAGCCUUGAAAGCAGAAAGGAUACAGAAGCAGGUCCUGGACCAACAGUGUCAAAACAUGAGA